CAUGCCAAUGGCACUGCUCGGUAGCUAAAUGCGGAAGAGAUAAGUGCUGAAAGCAUCUAAGCACGAAACUUGCCCCGAGAUGAGUUCUCCCUGAGACUUAGAGUCUCCUGAAGGAACGUUGAAGACGACGACGUUGAUAGGCCGGGUGUGUAAGCGCAGCGAUGCGUUGAGCUAACCGGUACUAAUGAACCGUGAGGCUUAACCUU
rnacentral:rRNA from 1 species